rnacentral:rRNA from 1 species
GUCCGCGCAGUAAACGAUGGAUACUUGCCUUCUGGGCCGAAUGAGGUUUGCGAGGCGAAGCGAAAGCGUUAAGUAUCCCACCUGGGGAGUACGCCGGCAACGGUGAAACUCAAAGGAAUUGACGGGGGCCCGCACAAGCGGAGGAACAUGUGGUUUAAUUCGAUGAUACGCGAGGAACCUUACCCGGGCUCGAACGCAAGUUGACGUACUUUGAAAGAGGUAUUCCAGCAAUGGCAAUUUGCGAGGUGCUGCAUGGUUGUCGU